CAUGUCAACGCAGAGGCCAAAUCACAACGCAUGGAGGACAUAUAUAUUGGUCAGAAGAAGGGGAGAGCUGCAGCAUCAACAGUUGGCACCAUUGUGGGUGGUGAUAGUGGUGGAUUGUUCUUCAUUGUGUUAGUUGGUGUAGGAUGGAUCAUGUCAACCAGAAGACAGUGUAAAUAAGAACUGUCAAUGCAGGGAGACCAGGAGCAGCAGUACCAGCAGUAGCAGGAGGAGAAGAGGGCCAACCAGGGGACAAGUACACCACCAGAAGAGAGGAAAGAACUAAAGUUCCCCCAACAGGCAGAUGCAUUUUACAGCACUGUGCAGCAACCAGCGGUACAAGAUCCCCAUCAAGUGGACAAAGCAUGGAAUAACUUCAACAAACCAGACGGCGAACUGCACAAUGGGAGAUACAUCUGUCUCAGAGUCCCCCUGAUGUUACAUGUCUGUAGCUAGGCUCCCAUUAAUUUGUCCAGUGAUCUUUAGUCAACAUUUAGCAAGUUUGCACAGAAAAU
rnacentral:lncRNA from 1 species